rnacentral:rRNA from 1 species
AGGGUAUGAUACUGGCUCAGAACGAACGCUGGAGGCGUGGUUCAGGCAUGCAAGUCGAGCGAGAAACCGAAUAACAUCGGGAGUAAAGCGGCGAAAGGGUGAGUAAUGCACAGAUAACUUGCCCGCGAGACCGGGACAACUCGGCGAAAGCUGGGCUAAUACCGGAUAAGACCACAGUCCGCAUGGGCUGCGGUAAAUGGAUGGGGACCCGCAAGGGCCUUUCGCUCGCGGAGAGGUCUGUGUCCUAUCAGCUUGUUGGUAGGGUAACGGCCUACCAAGGCGAUGACGGGUACGAGGCCUUAGAGGGUGUCCUCGCACACUGGGACUGAGACACUGCCCAGACUCCUACGGGAGGCUGCAGUCGAGAAUCUUCCGCAAUGGGCGCAAGCCCGACGGAGCGACGCCUCGUGGAGGAUGAAGGCCUUCGGGUUGUAAACUCCUGUCACGAGCUUGGAAAGACGCCGAGACGAAUACUCUCGGCGUUUGACUUCAACUCGAGAGGAAGCAACGGCUAACUUCGUGCCAGCAGCCGCGGUAAUACGAAGGUUGCGAGCGUUGUUCUGAAUCACUGGGCGUAAAGAGUGCGUAGGCGGUUCCGUGUGUCGGGUGUGAAAGCCCUCGGCCUAACCGAGGAAUUGCGCCUGAAACUACGGGGCUUGAGUGCCGGAGGGGUGACCGGAAUUCCUGGUGGAGCGGUGAAAUGCGUAGAUAUCAGGAGGAACGCCAGUGGCGAAAGCGGGUCACUAGUCGGUAACUGACGCUGUGGCACGAAAGCCAGGGGAGCAAACGGGAUUAGAUACCCCGGUAGUCCUGGCCGUAAACGAUGCAGACUACGUAGAGGGGCUUCCGAUAGCCUCCCUGCCGGAGCAAACGUAUUAAGUCUGCCGCCUGGGGAGUAUGGUCGCAAGGCUGAAACUCAAAGUAAUUGACGGGGGCUCACACAAGCGGUGAAGCAUGUUGCUCAAUUCGAUGUACGCGAGGAACCUUACCCAGGCUUGACAUGCACGGAUUAGUCCAGCGAAAGUUGGAUCACACCCGCAAGGGUGGAACGUGCACAGGUGUUGCAUGGCUGUCGUCAGCUCGUGUCGUGAGAUGUUGGGUUAAGUCCCGCAACGAGCGAAACCCUUGCCCUUAGUUGCCAGUCCCGUUGCAAAACGGGACGCACUCUAAGGGGACUGCCAGUGUCAAACCGGAGGAAGGCGGGGACGAGGUCAAGUCAUCAUGGCCCUUAUGCCUGGGGCUGCAAACGUGCCACAAUGGCCGGUACAGAGUGAAGCGAGGUCGAAAGGCGGAGCUAAUCACAAAAAACCGGUCCCAGUUCGGAUUGGGGGCUGAAACCCGUCCCCAUGAAGCUGGAAUCGCUAGUAAUCGCGCAUCAGCACGGCGCGGUGAAUAUGUUCCUGAGCCUUGUACACACCGCC